CCACCCCUACCCCCUCAGAACCCCUACCCUCUCAUCUCUCUCAUCUCUCAUCACAAUUCCUAACGCCGCCAUUCCACCACCGUUUGCCGCCGGCUGGAAAUCACCUCCGCCGGCGGCGAGUCACCAACGGCUCCUAAAUUUACACCGUACGUUCUUCUUCUCCUCCCUAUUCCAUAUCCACCCUCAGUUUCCUUCAAAUCCCACCCAAAUGCAUCGAAUAUUUGGAACAGUAGCCGCCACGUCCGUUGUGUAUGGCGCCGCUGCCUCCAAACCUCACCAAAAUUACACCUUAUAGCCUCCUCACCCUCCUCUUUUCGAAUCUACAACCCAUAGCCUUCGAAUCACCCUCUAGUGGCUCGAAUUUAAAUCGAAAUCCGGCGUGGAACCCUAAUUAUUUUUCAAGGUUAGGAUUUCCUGAUUUUGGACUUAAUCAUGUGUUUUCUCAUGGAAACGCAUGAUUAAGGACAGUUUUGGUCCCAAUAAUUCCAAAAGUUGGCCAGAGUUCCAGUUUUUGAGUUAGGUAUUUCUUUUGUCCUUCUUUUCUGUUUCUCUUUCAUUUUUCUGUUCUUUCUCGUCAUGUUAGUUUUAGUUUUGGUUAAUUUAGGGUUCUGAUUACUUGUCUACAUUACAGCCGAACAAUCUAAAUUCGAUUUGACUAUUUGUUUGAUUUUGAUCGUAACAUUUCAUGUUUGUUUUAUUAUUUUACAUGAUAUUAUAUGUUUAGUCUUUUAUGUUCAAUUGUCCAUUUAUUAUUUUAUUGGUUCAAUAGUAAAUUAGUCUUAUGGUACUGGUUUAAUAAUUAGUUUGGUUCUCUUUGCCUUUGAUUAAGAUCUUCUAAUUAGUAAGUAAGUAUUUGGCUUUGUUUAAAAUCAGUAGUCUCAUUGGAAUUGGGUCACUUGACCCAGACUUAGUUAGUUGACAUAAUUUAGUAGUUCAGGGGUAGUAUAGGCAUGUUACAGUAAAAGAAUCUUGCAGUAACUGAAUUGGGACCCCUAGAACUUUCUAGAUUGGGGUUUUAAUUCGAAACUAAGGAACUUGGUAGUAUUAUUUGACCAAGAAGUCAGUAAUUUAGGGACUAGUUAUUUAAAAAUAAAGAAUUAAAAGGAUUAAGGGCUAAAAAUACAAAGUUUGAACUUGCCCUAGUAACUUGCCUAUAAAGGCAUUGUUACUUAGAGCUGAAGGCAGAUCUUCAGCAUUUAGAAACAGAGAAAAAAGCUCUGCAAAACUUCAGGCAACUAAAAACAUUAGAAAGACUAUUUCAUAGAAUUUUCUGAGGGUGAUCUUAAAUUUCAAGUUCUAAACGAAAGCCCCAGCUCAUCCAAGUUUAAAAAUAGCUUGAAUCUUCCUUGUGUUUUGGUAGUUGAAGUUUCAGGAGUUCCUGGGGUAAUUUCGAGUUUAAAUGAGUUCAUUUGAGCUUAGUUUUGGUUGUUUAUUGGUGCUGCUCAUUUGAAAUUAAUUCCUGGGUCGCUUGAUACUUUUCCUGGGUUUUAAAAUCGAUCUUAUUGUUGUUGUUUGUUGUUGCCUAGUUGACUUCUAGUUCCAUGCGAUUUUGUUCUAAUUCCAGGUACUUUUCUCUGCCUCUAAUGAUGUAUGAGGAGCUGAAUCAGUAGAUGUGAGAAUGAGUUCUUUUUUCGAAGAAUGAUGAAAUGCAGCUUGUUUUUCCCUAUGAAUUUCCCGUUAUUCCACUGCAGUUUAAAUGCCUAGUUUCGUUAAAACAUUGUAUCAUUUGUAAUACUGAACUAUUGGGGGCUGUUUUCAGAAUUAUGUGAGUAUCUGGUUAACGAUGUUAGUUGUAGUAUAGUUGAUUCUAGUUGUCCUAUCAUGUUAAUUUGAGAACUAAAUAGGACGUUGGUUUGAAAUCGAGUCUGGAAAUAGCAUGUAUACUCAUACUAAUGUAAGAUCAAGCAUAUCAUUUAGCUUAAAUGUGCUGGCUACUCUAAUUUGUUUGUCAUGUGUAUGUUGAAAAUGUGAAAUCCAAAAGAGCUCAUCUCCAAUUCAAAACAGUAGAAUACUUAUAUUUACAUUGUAUUUCAUGUUAGUAUAGGGUAAAAAAUUGAGAGCUUCAGUGGUUGUUUCCAGGGCCUAGUCUUUUAAGUGUAUUAAUUGAAAUUAAUUAGUUGUUAAAAUUUCAUAUUGGGUAUGUCAGUUAUCCAUAUAUGAACAAAUUGAAAUUGUAUGUAACAUGAGAAUUAAAAGGUUGGUGUACUUUUGAUUGGAAUAAAUGGUUCAGUUA
rnacentral:lncRNA from 1 species